AACAACCUUACGUCUAGUCGUUCCUGCGCACAAAAGUUUAAGACCAAACGGAGCGAUGAAAAGUGUUCAGCAGAGUCCAGUCUGUUCCAUCAAGUAGGCUAUGAGCCAGUUGUGUCUACUUACUGCCACCGUUCUGACAGUAAGAUGGGCAAAAUCCCACACCAGAUCUCUUCAGUUGCUAAAUCCUACUGUUUUUGGAAAAAGCACUGC